rnacentral:rRNA from 1 species
GACGAACGCUGGCGGUGCGCCUUAUGCAUGCAAGUCGAGCGAAGCUUUUCAGUAGUUUACUACAGAAAAUGACUGAGCGGCGAACGGGUGAGUAACGCGUGAGCAAUCUACCUUAGUUACUGGGAUAGCCCGAGGAAACUCGGAUUAAUACCGGAUAAUCUUAUUACAUCACAUGAUAUUUUAAGUAAAGGUCAGCCGAACUAAGAUGAGCUCGCGUUCUAUCAGCUUGUUGGUGGGGUAAAAGCCUACCAAGGCUACGACGGAUAGCUGGUCUGAGAGGACGAUCAGCCACACUGGGACUGAGACACGGCCCAGACUCCUACGGGAGGCUGCAGCAGGGAAUAUUGCGCAAUGAGCGAAAGCUUGACGCAGCGACACCGCGUGUGGGAUGACGGUUCUAGGAUAGGAACCACUUUA